AUAGCCUUCUUAGGAAUCUCUCUCUCCUCUCUCUCUGCCCCCCCUCCCCCGCUUAUGCACUCUCUGUCUGUCUCUCUCUCUCUCAAAAUAAAUAAACUUUAAAAAAUAGUUUCAUUCCACUGCUUUUACCCUACAAGGGCAAUGCUGUCAGCCAUAACAGAAGAGGUAGAGUGGUGACACAUCAUUAGACUUCAUGCUAAAAAUGAAGUAACUUAGGGGCGCCUAGGUGGCUCAGUCGAAGUGCCUUACUAUUGGUUUCAGCUCAAGUCAUGAUCUUAUGGUUCAUGAGUUUGAGCCCUGCAUUGGGCUCUGUGCUGACAGCAAGGAGCCUGCUUGGGAUUCUCUCUCUCCCUCUCUCUCUCUCUCUGCCCCUCCCCCACUCACUCUCUCAAAUAAACUUAAAACAAUUUUUUUUUCUAAUGAGGUAACUUAGAUUUAAUAUGGACUACUAGAAUCUGAAAGGUCAGGAAAAAGGGGCUGCUUGGACUGCUUCAGUGGAGUUGCCACGAGAUGUGGGUGGGAAAAGACUAUAUGAAGAAGGUCUUUUAUGAGUGUUUUCAAAUGUCUUCUCAACCUGAGUGAUUUUGUCCCCUGGGAGUCAUUUGACCAUAUCAAGAGACUUGUUUCACAGCUGGCAGGAAGGUGGGGGGUCAGUGUUGGGGGAGGUGAGUUAGUGGUUGGGAGGGGAGAGGAAGGAGAUACUGGAAUCUAGUGGGUGGAGGUCAGGGAUACUGCUGAUCUACAAUGCACAGGACAGCCCCUCACGACAAAAUUAUUCAGCCCAAAAUGUAAAUAGUGCUGAAGUUGAGAGAUUUGUUGAAAAGAAGAAAACUGGCAAGAAAUGGAAGUAGGAAACAUGUUUUCUUGGUUUAAAUUCUGGAACGUUUCUGAGCUUGCUUGCUUUUUUUUUUUUUUUUUUUAAUGUUUAUUUUAUUUUUGCGAGAGAGAGCAGGGGAGAGGGGCAGAGAGACAGGAACACAGAGGAUUCAAAGCUGACUCUGCGAAGAUAGCAGAGAGCCCAAUGUGGGGCUGGAACUCACUAACCUGAGAUCAUGACCUAAGCCAAAGUCAGAUGCUUAACUGAUUGAGCCACCCAGACACCCCAAGACUAGCUUUUUAAAUGUACUACCUGAUUCCUUAGGCUGUAUUCUCUCAACCAGGAAAUGAAACGCUGAAAUCGUCAUCCUUUGACUCAGGUCCCCACCAGUAUUGAAUUUAAUACCCUACAAAGUUUUUCUGUGGGAAGUUUGUUUUCUCAGCAGGGUAUAUUAACAGAAAGAAGGGGGGAGAAAGGAGAAAGAACCAGGAGGAGGAAGAACAAUCAACGGGGCUGCCCACUCAUAUUUCCUACGAGCAAGGCACUUCUUUUGGAUCUUGCAUGUUCAUUGGCUGGUCCCUGAUCAAAGGCAGGACAGAUAAGUAGCAGGCCGGUAGGGGUAAGGCGCUAUUUUUAUCUAGCAAGUACUCACAAAGCACUUAUUUGCUAAAGGACCAUAUAGAACAAGCCUGGUCAAGUGGGCAAACAACCCUAUAAGGAAAGCGUCUGAACCUUACAGACGGACUUGGGCCCCCACAGUCCGCGGGAGGAAGGGGUGCAGAGCGCCAGCUUCGGCAGGGAAAGGGAAGGCGAGCCUGGAGAACCGCACCCCGUGGCCCGCUAGGCCCAGCCAGCCGCUCCCUACGUCGUCCUCAGGACAACCAUCGAGUUAGGGACCUUCAUGCCAUCCUAGAGCGGCCCGGAAGCGCAUCCGGCAGACGCAAAGCGCGGCGGCUCCCGCGGUGGCCGGAUGUGCGCCGCGGUAGCUCUUCUCGGUUGCGGUCUUCUGCAGGGAGGAAUGCUCGCCUAGAAGACACCACCUGGCACUACAAGGAUUCCAUUGACUGGAAGUUGAGACUGAUAGCUGGCCACAAUGUCCCUGAGUCAACAAAGUGUCACUAGACUGGCUGAGGUGACUGAUCACCCCAAGGGGAAAGUGGGUUGGUACUAGACAAUGAGGAAUAAGGAGGAAUCCAGAAGUUUCUGGGCAUAUUUUAGUGCUAUACCACCUGUGGUUAACGUCGGUGGAUGACUAUGACAACCCAGCACGGGCCUCAGUCUCUUUGGGAAUGAAGGCUUGGGUCACUCCACGAGGCAGAGAACCACAAGCAGCUGAGGUGAUUGCUGGGUCAAUGGGAACAUGGAAUGGAUAGUGAAAGAAGGUUGUUACAAAUAACAGUUAAGACCAUGUGACUAGUUGCAAAAAAAAGCACAGUGGUAGUUAUGACUUUCUUGUUUUGCUAUGAAUGUUUAUGUGUAUCAACCAGAUUUUUUGUUGUCUCUCCUUAUCAUUUAACAUCUGUUGCUGGUAACAUGUCGAUAUAAAGUUAACUUUAUACCUCAGUAUUUGGGUUAUGGGGUUUCAAAAGGAGUGAAUCAGGUAGGAGAUGAAUGAACAUCAGCAAAGACAAAAAAAAAAAAAGUAGGGGAGGGGUAAGGAGAGGGAGAGGGACUUUGUAUUGUUUCUUGAGGACAGAGUGUGGUGAUGGUUCUAUGAGGAUUCCAGUAUCGUUUAGACGGAAGUGCAGUUUUGUAACUGUCUUUAUUAGGCGACUAAGUAUGGUUAAGGAAAUGGGUAUUGGUACCAUGUUGACAGGGGUGGAUUUUGAUGGCUUAUGUUGUGUCAGCUUGGCCAAGCUAAACUACACUCCCCAGAAUCCUCUUUCGAGUAUGUUGCAAUUAGGAUGGGCUGCAUAGAUGGUCCCUUGAGAGUUACCGGGCAGGCAGGAGGCCGCAGCCACUAGGUGGCACACAGGUGCUGUUGCUGAGCCGCUGGCUCACCAGCGUCUCAGGUACCUGGAUCUUCCUUCUGGUUGACUCCUGACCCAGCCCUGUGUGUUCAACUCCACACAGGCUCACUUUCCACAGGAUACCUUUGUCACAAAUGUCAAAUGAACAGACACAGGUAUUUGCUGGCUUGUGAUCUUCCCUUCCUGACUACCUGCUUGUGGGCUUUGGAGCCUCAUGAAGGCUGUUUAGCCAGCCCCCCAAAGGCAUAAGCCUGUUGAUAGGUACACAGAUGGUAGUUAGGUAGCUAGACAGAUAGCCUCUGUUCUCUGGUUGAACCCUGACUGGUACGGGGAAAAUAAGACUCUCUGAACCCAGAGUCUUUGGCCCACGUUCCUUAUAAGGUGUUCUUUUUCUUUUCUGGUCAUUAAAAUUUCUUUGAACAUUCAAA